ACGUGUUCCGAGAGAUUUCCCGGUCUUGCUGACCAUUUAUGUGUUAAUGAAGGGGACGUGAAUGUGAUGCAUUCUUGUGGGGGAGGAAUUCACGUGGGUUAUAACUCCUUAGAAAUUAUACGAAAAAUAUUAAUAUUAUACAGUGGUAUAGGUUAGGUCAUUCUUGAUGCUCUUAAAUGUCAGCUCACAAUCAUGCACCCAUUCUAUCUUGGCGCAAGACAGUUUAGUUGUACACCUCACUGUUUACCAUGACUAAUAGUGAAUCUGUUGUGUCACCAGGUCCAAGAUUGUGGGAGAUCUCCACAUAACUCACACGUUUUUUUUCCAACAGUUUGAUCAGAUUUGCGAACCAAGUUCUGGGAAUACAACUUCAGAUAUAUCACAGGAGAGAGCAGUUCACUGGGCUUCCAGCUCUUACAGCAGCUGUUCUCGAAUGAUAUACUUUAUGGGCACCUCUAAAGACACCAAAGACCCUAUGAUAUUUUGAGCUUUAAGGCAGUCACUGCAGCUAUCAACUACUAUAUGCAAUUGUCUGCUUUUCGCUCUGUUUCAGUCAACCCAAAGAGGAGUGAUCGUUUCCACAUGUACAACUACCUGUAAUCAAUUAUCUGACUGCCCUAAUCAUAAUGUACAGCCAUGUGUGGUUACGAGUUGUAAAAAUAAUCAAUGCAGAUGAAUAUUUGUGCCAAUGAAUUGCCCUUAGUUAUGGCAAAGCGCACAGAAACAAGUUAACUACUGCUUCUUAUAGCAGCAGGAAGGAGUAUUGGAAUUUGAAGAUGACACCAAAUCAAGUUGCCCGCAAAAAACAUACCUCAAAAAGUUCUGCAUAGUGUUGGUUGAAGCUCAAUAAAAUGUAACCAUCUGUCUCUUAAAACUGAUUGAUCUUGAAGGGCUUAAUGGUCUUGGUGAAGUGGAUCUCUGUACACCCACAUGUGACACAUACAAGUUUAGCAAUUCUGCUGAUAUCCUUGAUAAGAUGGGGUAGUACUUUGCAUAAAAGGCAGAGACAGUAGCAAAAUUGAACUUCAUUGCAGGAUAAGUCCCUCUUGGACACAGUGGACCUGCUACUCUUUGUAAAUGACAAUGGCUAAAGGACUUGUGAGAGUGGUAUGCUUCUGUCUGCUGGUGCUCCUCCACCAGAAUGUGGUGGCUGGGUGCACCUUUCAUAACCUUGUGGGCAUCAUUUUGAAAGAAACGAAAGAUGUGAUGAAUAUGUUUAGAGAAGCAUUUGUACAUCCAAUACCCGUCAAUGUGGAGUUUGAAGAGCUUAAACCUCUGAAUGGUUCACAUCCAGGAGAAAAUCUUAUGAACAAAACUGGUUGUGGACUGAAGUACAUGAUCAAAGCCAUUAGUUUACUUAAUCAGGUCCAUUCAAGUUUCUUCUCAGGGAACGAGGACUUAAAAGGAAACCUGACUGACUUGGCCGCAGUAAUAAAUCGAAGCUGUAGAUAUUUAAACUUUACUAUGGGUGGAGGGUGUUCCAUAACAACACCUGAACCCCAACUGCCAAAAUAUUCUUUUGGGAGAAAAAGGUGGUGUCUCAGUGUAUUGCAAAGGUUUGAUGACUUUUUAUCCUCGCUGAAAGAACUACCUUGUUUGUACAAAAGAAAAGGGGGCCACACCCAUUUGUCACCAUCCCUGAAGUAUGUUACUGCU
ensembl:lncRNA